CAUGCAGUCGACGAACUUCCGUUAAUUGAUUAUGACGUACUUGUACUGAUUGAGAUUUUAACACGAAGUGAGUGGCGAACGGGUGAGUAACACGUGGGUAACCUGCCCAGAAGUAGGGGAUAACACCUGGAAACAGAUGCUAAUACCGUAUAACAGAGAAAACCGCAUGGUUUUCUUUUAAAAGAUGGCUCUGCUAUCACUUCUGGAUGGACCCGCGGCGUAUUAGCUAGUUGGUGAGGUAAAGGCUCACCAAGGCAGUGAUACGUAGCCGACCUGAGAGGGUAAUCGGCCACAUUGGGACUGAGACACGGCCCAGACUCCUACGGGAGGCAGCAGUAGGGAAUCUUCCACAAUGGACGCAAGUCUGAUGGAGCAACGCCGCGUGAGUGAAGAAGGGUUUCGGCUCGUAAAGCUCUGUUGUUAAAGAAGAACGUGGGUAAGAGUAACUGUUUACCCAGUGACGGUAUUUAACCAGAAAGCCACGGCUAACUACGUGCCAGCAGCCGCGGUAAUACGUAGGUGGCAAGCGUUAUCCGGAUUUAUUGGGCGUAAAGCGAGCGCAGGCGGUCUUUUAAGUCUAAUGUGAAAGCCUUCGGCUCAACCGAAGAAGUGCAUUGGAAACUGGGAGACUUGAGUGCAGAAGAGGACAGUGGAACUCCAUGUGUAGCGGUGAAAUGCGUAGAUAUAUGGAAGAACACCAGUGGCGAAGGCGGCUGUCUGGUCUGCAACUGACGCUGAGGCUCGAAAGCAUGGGUAGCGAACAGGAUUAGAUACCCUGGUAGUCCAUGCCGUAAACGAUGAUUACUAAGUGUUGGAGGGUUUCCGCCCUUCAGUGCUGCAGCUAACGCAUUAAGUAAUCCGCCUGGGGAGUACGACCGCAAGGUUGAACUCAGAA
rnacentral:rRNA from 1 species